CCUGGUGUGUUCGGCAGCAAAAGCUUCAGGCGGAGAGGGAGCGAGAGAAAAGUGUAAGCAAGAAAAGAGCAGAGCUCUGUGGGAACAGCCAGACAGGCAGCACUGCACCAGAAGCCUGCCAUAUGGAGGAGACUGGGAGCACUCACAGCAAAGCCUUUGGACACAGGUACUAGAGAGGAGGCUAAAGCUGAAUGUCUGACACUUCUUCUCAGAUGUCUCUUAAACCAAAUAUAUGAAAGGAGGUCAUAUCAGUGUACAGUAUUCCAGAUUUUGCAUCCUUAAGCACAGGAAUGAAAUGCUGACAACUGCUCAGAUCCUUCUCAGAUGGGACUGGUCUAUGGAUGUGUGGGGGAAAAAGGGGAGGAGGAGCAGGCAUGAAAAGAGAGAGACACACAGACAGAGAGCGAGAGAAAGAAAGAGAGAGAGAGAGAGAGAGAGAGAGAGACUUUAAUUCCAAUUUCUGCUGCAAAUAGAAAGAAGGAACUACCAAGUCUCACACUCGGCGGCAAGCAUCAGGAAGAACUGCUCAGCUCAGACAGACUGAUCAUUAUGGCCCAAGCGCAGAAUUAUGGAGGAGAAUGCUUACCUUUCUUUAUUCACCAAGCAUUAAGUAUGCUGUUUUUUUUUAACAGUUUAUUGGAUUCGUGUUGAAGCUUCCUAAUGUAAAUGUUAUCUUUUUCCAUUAAUAUGCUCUAUCGCUGUAAAACUCCACCACCAGCUGAAACUAGUGUGCAGUAAACUAACCAAUUGCAGUAAAAUGUAAUGACCUUAAUGGUUAUAAAAAUAAACUUGCUGUGUUUUUAAAUGUCAAAUUAUCUAAUAUAGUUUUGUAUAUAGCCCUGAAAUGUUUACUAAGACAAAUAUAUUUCUCCUGCAAUACAUAAUGCAACAGCUUGGAAAAAUAGCAAAAUAAAACUAAGCAUGAUAUUUAAAUUGACGCAUUAUGAACACAUGUUAAACAUAAUUGCAAAAAUGUAGAAAUCAUUAAAGUAAUGUUUUAUUGAUAUAGCACCUCUCCCAUCAAGAGUUAACUGAUGACUAGCCUGUAAUCUUUAUUUGAGGAUACCAUAUGAGUGAAGAGAAAGGGUACAGCCAUAAGAUGAAGCCGUUUGUAACAGGUUGAGUAAUGAUAAACAUGGGCACAUGUAAUGAUGAAAGGUUUGGUGUUUAUGCCAGGCUUUAUUCCUAUCUUAUACCCUACUGGGCCUGAAGAGUCUUGUUAAAUUCCACUGAUUUCAGUCACUGUUUUAAUUAACAGCACCAUGCUUUCUUCGAGCGAAUGCUUUUAGCCAGAGUCGCACCAUCAUAACCAGCAUGAACGGGUUAGCAAUAAAAAUAUGGAUACAUUAUAACUGGAGCUUUAUGCAGAAAGUUUUGAAAGGAAGGGCACUUAAUCAAUCAAUUAACCAUCAGCCAUUUAUUCCUAGAAACAUCCAUAACCUCCACAUCCUUGUACCCUUGUUAUCCCUACAGGAUACAAUGCACUACAAUGUUUCAUGACCAACUAAAAACAUACAAGCUGUACAUAUUUCAAAAAUACUUAGUCAAAUUACUGAAAAUUAUAGUUUGAAGCAAAGAAUCAAUGUGACAAGAAAGUACGUCUUUCCUUAAAGAACAAAAUAGAUAUUUGGUUACAGACUAUAGCAGUUAGUGCAUUUUGCUAUUUUUUUUUUUUGAUGCUGCCACAGCUGCUUGUGUUUCCUAACAUGGUAGUCUCCAUUAUCUAAGAGCAAUCGAUGCUCCCCUUCUCAAGUUUGUGAUGAGUUAAGGGAACUCUCUUCACGGUUCCUUCAUGAAACAAUAAAAAUUACGAAUUUCAGGUUUUGAUCUCUCUAUUUCCCUCCCCUUGAGUUUAGAUUUACCAUUUCAGGAGUGUUCGCUUGAUUGUAUGGCAUCUGCCUCUUCAACGUUCCUGAUUCCUGACUUUCCAAUCUGACUUUUAAGACAGCAAAUAUCAUUUAAGUGUUUUAAAAUGAGUUCAUUGAUCGCAGUAUCCCAAUGGAUUGAUUAUUUUCCGAAAGCAGUAAGGAUUGAGGAAAAAUGCAAGAUCGAAUCAUAGGUGUGUGUUAAGUAUACUGUAUGUUGGUUGAUUUGUUUAUGCACUUGGGACAGUAAGGAACAAAAUUUUGUUCAACUAUAUACUUACUAUACAUGUGGACAAUAAAGUAAAGUUGAGUUGAGUUAGGAGCAGUAACGUCCAUAAUAGACAAUCCCUCUGGUGUCAACAAUAGAAAGAAAGGCAAGGCAAGAAACCAAGUUGGGGCUGAGCAGAAUAUGAGUUCUUAUUUACCGUAUUAUUUUGUUUAUUAUUCUUUAUGUAAAGCUGUCACAAAACCCGUACACGUCUUUAUGAAACUUGGCAGCGAUAGACAUAUUACUGCAGACAACAAUUGUAGCUGAAUAUCUGGACAACUAAAAUAUGUCCAAAAUAAUUGCUGUUACACAGAAAAGGUGAAAACAAAAUAGUGAAGUAAAUUACUAUUACCACAGUAAAAGGGAAAAAACAACAACAUUACACAGCCAGAAUCUGACAAAAUGACAGUAACCACCAACAUUAUUCAAUGGAAUCUUAUUAAAAAACAAACUAGUCCCACCAUGGGCUCAAACACUGGACAGUUUCUGUAAAAGUCGUGUAAGAGGAGGGGUAACAUGGAGGUUAAGUGUGACAUUUCUUGCAAAUUUUGUAUUUAGAUGUAUAAAAAAUUUUCAAAACUCAGUACUUGACAGACCUUUUCAUACAUUAAAAAGAAAAUGUUACUGCAAGGUUGUGGGUUUAUAUUAAACACCAAAAGGUCAUUCAUUAUUUUGUACAUCAUAUUGGGUUUUUUUUUUUUGCUUGUCUAAUUUAACUGUUUCAGAAAUUUGUA